rnacentral:rRNA from 1 species
ACCCAAUUCUGACACGGAGAGGUAGUGACAAGAAAUAACGAUACAGGGCAUUCAUGUCUUGUACUUGGGCUGAGUAGAAUGUAAACGACUCUAUGAGUAUCAAUUGGAGGGCAAGUCUGGUGCCAGCAGCCGCGGUAACUCCAGCUCCAAUAGCGUAUAUUGAAGUUGUUGCGGUUAAAAAGCUCGUCGUUGGAUUUCUGUUGAGGUCGAACAGUGCCGCCCUAUGGGUGCGCAACUGGCUCGGCUUCGGCAUCUUCUUGGAGAGCGUAUCUGCACUUAACUGUGUGGAUCGUACUUCAAGUCAGUUACUUUGAGGAAUCGUGAGUGUUUCAAGCAGGCUUACGCCGUUGAAUCCGUUAGCAUGGAAUAAUAGAAUAGGACCUCGGUUCUAUUUUGUUGGUUUUGAGAGCUGGGGCAGCGAUUGAUAGGGACGGAUGGGGGCGUCCGAACUUUACUGUCAGAGGUGAAAUUCUUAGAUCGGUCAAAGGCGAACUACUGCGAACGCAUUCGCCAAGAAUGUUUUCUUUAAUCAAGAACGAAAGUUAGGGGAUCGAAGACGAUCAGAUACCGUCCUAGUCUUAACCAUAAACGUUACUGACUAGAGAUUGGAGGUUGUGAUUCACAAACUCCAUCAGCACCUCUAUGUGUAAACAAAGUCUUUGAGUUCUGGGGGGAGUAUGGUCGCAAGACUGAAACUUAAAGGAAUUGACGGAAGGGCAUCACCAGGAGUGGAACCUGCGGCUUAAUUUGACUCAACACG